rnacentral:rRNA from 1 species
UACGUAGGGUGCGAGCGUUGUCCGGAAUUAUUGGGCGUAAAGGGCUCGUAGGCGGUCCAUCGCGUCGGGAGUGAAAAGCUGGGGCUUAACCCCCAGUCUGCUUUCGAUACGGGUGGACUAGAGGUAGGCAGGGGAGAAUGGAAUUCCUGGUGUAGCGGUGGAAUGCGCAGAUAUCAGGAGGAACACCGGUGGCGAAGGCGGG